GGCGUGCUAGCUCAGCGGCAGAGCAAUCGGCUCCAGUCCGAUCGGUCACCAGUUCAAAUCCGGUGCACGUCU
rnacentral:tRNA from 1 species